GAACACAAAAUGGCGACACGUGGUUAGCAUUCGUCGCCAACGAGAAAUUGGGGUCGGCCCGAAAGCUCUAGAAUGCACCCCCCUUCUUCCCCGGGGCCUUCCACCUCCGCGAGUUUUAUGACUUAAAAAACCCCACAGGCUGGUCUGAAGAGGAAGACAAACAUAAAGAUGAAGUGCUUAAUUCAAGGUCACACAAUGUCGGGGAUGGACCUCCAGAUUUCCUUACUGGAAAACAAGCUCAGGGCUCCCACUGAUUGUACAUUAUGGUGAGACGUGGUCUUGUAACACAGUGGUUAAGAAUGUGACUUUGGAGCCAGCCUGCUAGGGGCUGAAUUCUGACUCAGCCAUUUACUAACUGUGUGACCUUAGGGAGGAGGACCUGGUUGAUAGAAGAAUUUAUCUCGUAGUCUUAACAUCCACUGUAAUUCCAAACUUUGAGGACGAUAGAGAUCAGUGGGCUUUGACUGCCCAGCAUGCAGUCUCCAUUCUUAGGUGGGUUCCCAAGCCUGUAAAAUGUAAGCCUUAUGCUGCUGAGGGCC
rnacentral:antisense_RNA from 1 species